rnacentral:rRNA from 1 species
CCUACGGGAGGCAGCAGUGAGGGAUAUUGGUCAAUGGCCGGAAGGCUGAACCAGCCAAGCCGCGUGAAGGACGACGGUGCCAAGCAUUGUAAACUUCUUUUGUCAAGGGACAAAAUCAGGCUCGAGAGCCUGACCGAGGGUACUUGAAGAAAAAGCAUCGGCUAACUCCGUGCCAGCAGCCGCGGUAAUACGGAGGAUGCGAGCGUUAUCCGGAUUUAUUGGGUUUAACGGGUGCGUAGGCGGACUGUUAAGUCAGCGGUAAAAGCCCGGGGCUCAACCCCGGCGAGCCGUUGAAACUGGCGGUCUUGAGAUGUCGAGAGGUAUGCGGAAUGCGCAGUGUAGCGGUGAAAUGCUUAGAUAUGGCGAAGAACUCCGAUUGCGAAGGCAGCAUACCGGCGGCGAUCUGACGCUGAGGCACGAAAGCGUGGGUAGCGAACAGGAUUAGAUACCCCGGUAGUC